UGGAAGGACCCCCAGUCCACCCUGCGUAC
rnacentral:sRNA from 1 species